rnacentral:rRNA from 1 species
AUUGAAGGCUGAAAUUCGCCUACAUGAAGCUGGAAUUGCUAGUAAUGGCAGGUCAGCAUACUACCGUGAAUACGUUCCCGGGCCUUGUACACACCGCCCGUCACACCAUGAGAGUUGGGGAUACCCGAAGCCUGCGAGCCAACUGUAAAGAGGCAGCAGUCGAAGGUAGAAUCAAUGAUUGGGGUGAAGUCGUAACAAGGUAAC